rnacentral:rRNA from 1 species
GACGAACGCUGGCGGCGUGCUUAGCACAUGCAAGUCGAGCGGUAAGGCCCUUUCGGGGGUACACGAGCGGCGAACGGGUGAGUAACACGUGGGUGACCUGCCCUCAGCUCUGGGAUAAGCCUGGGAAACCGGGUCUAAUACUGGAUAUGACUCCAUGACGCAUGUUGUGGGGUGGAAAGCCUUGUGCGGCUGAGGAUGGGCCCGCGGCCUAUCAGCUUGUUGGUGGGGNGAUGGCCUACCAAGGCGACGACGGGCAGCCGGCCUGAGAGGGCGACCGGCCACACUGGGACUGAGACACGGCCAGACUCCUACGGGAGGCAGCAGUGGGGAAUCUUGCGCAAUGGGCGAAAGCCUGACGCAGCGACGCCGCGUGAGGAUGAC